AUUUAUUUUUUGGUGGUUACCAAAAAAUCCGCUAUGGCCUACUCGGAGUUAUUCCGAGCAGUUCCGAAAGCCUACGAAAGUAAACGGAGCACAAGCACGUGACAGUUAUGAAUAAUCAAUGAGGUCAGCAAAUCAAAACAAAGAUGGACAGAUAAAAAUGAAAAGAGAAACAGAGGCAGACAGAGAUUGCCAAAAUCGAUCAGAAAGCGACGGUAAAUGAAAAAUGUAGGAAAGAUAUUGACGUCGAUGGUUUAUUUAGGCAUUCAUUGAAAGAAAAUGAUAGCAUUCAAAGCUUCAAAUGGAGUGGGAAAAUGGAGGGCGUGGAAACGAAACAUCACGAUAGUAUCUUUUGACAUGACGCUUCAAGACUCCGAUGUCAGGAGGCUGGUGAUGUCACAGAUUUUACCUGGCUUGAACAUGCCAAGUGUACUGGCAUCUCAGCUGUUCUUCUCCAUCAUUUGACGGAUGAGCAUGAGUGGCAAGAGGAGAGGAAUUCACCAUGGCUUAACAAUAAAAAAACACUUUAGUACCCUUAAAGCCCUCAGAGUGAUUGUCCUUGACAACCACCUUCCAUCAAAGAUGCAUACUAUCUAGUAUACAGACUAAACCGUGCAUGGAACAAUAGAAGAGGAUGGCAAUAUUCCCCAGUAAACGUAGUGAAAGAAAAAAGACCUAUCCAUACAGAGUCGCUGAAGAAACUGAUCUUCAUGUGUCACUUGACCAACAAUUUUUCGAUAUGGGUAGAAAGGCUGUUAUGGAGAAGCACUAUCCUCGACAAAUCUCUAGCCACCUUGAACAGUUAUCUCCUUAACCAAGAAGGGAAUUGUACAGCGAGCAAGAAUCUAGGUUUAAUAAGAGACAUUUCUAGAGGUUUACUAUGUGCUCCAAUAUUCAUGAAACUUAAUGACAAUGGUCUCAUUGUUGUCUUGUUUGAAACUAGGUCACAUGUGGACUGAAUGGAAGUCACUUGAUUUUAUUUUUAAAACAUUAUAGAAUCAAACCUUGAUAUUGCUUUGUAAGAUUACUUGUGUUCAAACUUAGUGAGAAUGUUCACCUUGAUGAAAUGUUAAGGGAGAUCAAGUUUGUCACAUACGGUAAAAAAUAUGGUCACUUCUUAAGAAAUACUUGGGUACUAGAAGCAAAAUAUGUACUCGCAAUCAUGUAAAUUUGUGUGUAUAUUUGUUCUUUUCAGCUUUAUAAGUCGUGUUACCUGCCACAUGCUAACGCAUUUUAAGUAUUUAAAAAAAGUUUGAUUUUAUAUUAAAGUGGAUGGAACUUGACCAAAACCCUUUGAAAAUAGGGUAUAUCAAAAGCACAUAGGAUACUUUGAAAGUUGAACUUCAUACAUGUAUAUUGAUUUAUAUGUGAUGAUUAUUUUGGUGAAGUUCUCAAAAAUAAACAAAAUGUCAAAUUAAA